GACGAACGCUGGCGGCGUGCCUAAUACAUGCCAGUUGAGCGAUGAAGAUUGGUGCUUGCACCAAUUUGAAGAGCAGCGAACGGGUGAGUAGCGCGUGGGGAAUCUGCCUUUGAGCGGGGGACAACAUUUGGAAACGAAUGCUAAUACCGCAUAACAACUUUAAACAUAAGUUUUAAGUUUGAAAGAUGCAAUUGCAUCACUCAAAGAUGAUCCCGCGUUGUAUUAGCUAGUUGGUGAGGUAAAGGCUCACCAAGGCGAUGAUACAUAGCCGACCUGAGAGGGUGAUCGGCCACAUUGGGACUGAGACACGGCCCAAACUCCUACGGGAGGCAGCAGUAGGGAAUCUUCGGCAAUGGACGAAAGUCUGACCGAGCAACGCCGCGUGAGUGAAGAAGGUUUUCGGAUCGUAAAACUCUGUUGGUAGAGAAGAACGUUGGUGAGAGUGGAAAGCUCAUCAAGUGACGGUAACUACCCAGAAAGGGACGGCUAACUACGUG
rnacentral:rRNA from 1 species